rnacentral:rRNA from 1 species
UUAGGAAUAUUGGUCAAUGGGCGAGAGCCUGAACCAGCCAAGUAGCGUGCAGGAUGACGGCCCUAUGGGUUGUAAACUGCUUUUAUAUGGGAAUAAAGUGAGGGACGUGUCCCUUAUUGCAUGUACCAUACGAAUAAGGACCGGCUAAUUCCGUGCCAGCAGCCGCGGUAAUACGGAAGGUCCAGGCGUUAUCCGGAUUUAUUGGGUUUAAAGGGAGCGUAGGCUGUUUGUUAAGCGUGUUGUGAAAUGUAAGAGCUCAACUUUUAGAUUGCAGCGCGAACUGGCAGACUUGAGUGCGCACAACGUAGGCGGAAUUCAUGGUGUAGCGGUGAAAUGCUUAGAUAUCAUGACGAACUCCGAUUGCGAAGGCAGCUUACGGGAGCGCAACUGACGCUAAAGCUCGAAGGUGCGGGUAUCGAACAGG